rnacentral:rRNA from 1 species
AUUGAACGCUGGCGGCAGGCCUAACACAUGCAAGUCGAACGAGUGGCGGACGGGUGAGUAAUGUCUGGGAAACUGCGUGAUGGAGGGGGAUAACUACUGGAAACGGUAGCUAAUACCGCAUAACCACGGAUGUGCCCAGAUGGGAUUAGCUAGUGGGUGGGGUAAAGGCUCACCUAGGCGACGAUCCCUAGCUGGCCUGGGAGGAUGACCGGCCACACUGGAACUGAGACACGCUCCAGACUCCUACGGGAGGCAGCGGAGGGGAUUAUUGCACAAGGGGCGCAAGCCGGACGAAGACAGGCGGGUUGGAGGAAGAAGGCCUUCGGUUUUAAAAGUACUUUCAGCGGGGAGGCGUUACCUGCAGAAGAAGCACCGGCUAACUCCGUGCCAGCCGCCGCGGUAAUAC